AGCGAACGCUGGCGGCAGGCUUAACACAUGCAAGUCGAGCGGAGAUGAGGUGCUUGCACCUUAUCUUAGCGGCGGACGGGUGAGUAAUGCUUAGGAAUCUGCCUAUUAGUGGGGGACAACAUUCCGAAAGGAAUGCUAAUACCGCAUACGCCCUACGGGGGAAAGCAGGGGAUCUUCGGACCUUGCGCUAAUAGAUGAGCCUAAGUCGGAUUAGCUAGUUGGUGGGGUAAAGGCCUACCAAGGCGACGAUCUGUAGCGGGUCUGAGAGGAUGAUCCGCCACACUGGGACUGAGACACGGCCCAGACUCCUACGGGAGGCAGCAGUGGGGAAUAUUGGACAAUGGGCGGAAGCCUGAUCCAGCCAUGCCGCGUGUGUGAAGAAGGCCUUUUGGUUGUAAAGCACUUUAAGCGAGGAGGAGGCUACCUGGAUUAAUACUCUAGGAUAGUGGACGUUACUCGCAGAAUAAGCACCGGCUAACUCUGUGCCAGCCGCCGCGGUAAUAC
rnacentral:rRNA from 1 species